GCAGAUCCAAAGUGGGAAGAACAGAGGAAAUAAGAGGCAGAAACAAAAUGUGAAAAUGUCUGAGGCCACGAGAAGUUUCAGUUCCUUUUGGACUCACACAUCUGGGCUACAUUCAAAGAGAGAUGGGAAAGAAAUCCAGCAAAAUGAGUACAGUUCUCCAUGAAGAGGGAGACAAAUGGGCACCAACAUGCACAUCUGAGAUGUCACUUGGCCACCACAGCCUGGAGCAGCCCCUGGAAGGUCUGUAGCCCACCCUGCCAACUCACACCUCCAUGAGCUCACUGUGUCCUGCUGCACCAGAGUGCUGCAUCACUCUGCCAGGCAGGGAAUAGAUGGGAUUUGGAACAAGCAGCUGUAAAGUCAUGGUUUAUAAUUCGAUUAGAGAUCAGGAUAAUCAGCUGAGUUGUGUCACAUCUAUUUAGUUUGACUUUGGUUUCUUGGAGGUCUAAGAACAUGGCCAAGGGGGAAUUGAACUGCUUAUUUUGUUUGGGUGUUUGUUGGUUGGGAUUUGGGGGAGGUUGUUUUUGAACAACCUUUUUUAUUUAAAAGAAAAGAAAAACAAACAAUAUUCU
rnacentral:lncRNA from 1 species